UAUCGAUUACAGCGCAUACCAUUUCAUUUUAUAAAUAACUUCAAUGUGUUCGGUCGCGCUGUCGGGAAAUUAUCGAAAUUACCAAAGAUUCCAAUGAGUUAUUAACAGAAUCUGCAAGUCAAAACAAAACAACCGUGAAACGUAGCCGAAAAACGCCUGCCUGUUUGUAUGCGUGAUUGUGUGUGCGAGCGUAAUAAGAAAGACCAACAGCAAAAAGGCAAAAGAAAAAUAGUGCAUACGAAGAGCAGGCGCAAAACGCAAUUGAUGAAAUUUGUGAUUAUCACAAAUUUGUAUUAACAAAUGGUUGAAUAAUAUAUAAGUCUGGGCUUUAAAACUCCU